rnacentral:tRNA from 4 species
UCCUCAAUAGCUCAGUCGGUAGAGCAUGCGACUGUUAAUCGCAGGGUCGUUGGUUCGAGUCCAACUUGGGGAGCCA